rnacentral:miRNA from 1 species
UAAGUUUGUUCUUGGUAUAAGCUUUUGUGUGCAUGCACACUUCUUCAGAUACACUUGUGUGCAUGCACACAAAAGCUUAUACCAAGAACAAACUUA